rnacentral:rRNA from 1 species
GCCCUUCCGGGUACACGAGCGGCGAACGGGUGAGUAACACGUGGGUGACCUGCCCUUAGCUCUGGGAUAAGCCUGGGAAACUGGGUCUAAUACCGGAUAUGACUCCACGGCGCAUGUUGUGGGGUGGAAAGCCUUGUGCGGCUAGGGAUGGGCCCGCGGCCUAUCAGCUUGUUGGUGGGGUGAUGGCCUACCAAGGCGACGACGGGUAGCCGGCCUGAGAGGGCGACCGGCCACACUGGGACUGAGACACGGCCCAGACUCCUACGGGAGGCAGCAGUGGGGAAUAUUGGACAAUGGGCGCAAGCCUGAUCCAGCCAUGCCGCGUGGGUGAUGAAGGCCCUAGGGUUGUAAAGCCCUUUCGGCGGGGAAGAUAAUGACGGUACCCGCAGAAGAAGCCCCGGCUAACUUCGUGCCAGCAGCCGCGGUAAUACGAAAGGGGCUAGCGUUGCUCGGAAUCACUGGGCGUAAAGCGCACGUAAGCGGAUUGUUAAGUCAGGGGUGAAAUCCUGGAGCUCACCUCCAAAACUGCCUUUAAUACUGGCGAUCUUGAUUUCGGAAGAGGUGAGUGGAACUGCCAGUGCAGAGGUGAAAUUCGUACAUAUUCGCAAGAUCACCAGUGGCGAAAGCGGCUCACUGGCCCGAUACUGACCCUGAGGUGCGAUGCCGGGCGAACAACCAAGAUUAUAUCCCCUGGUAGUCCCCCCCUUUAACAAUGUUGCUACCCUUGAGAGGUUUACCGUCUUUGGUGCGACGCACGGUAUAAUCUUCCCGCCUGAGCAUUAAGUCGACACAAUUAUAACUCAAGUAUUUUUCGGUGGCCCGCCGCACUGUGGGAAUAUGUCUCUCAUCCAAUC